rnacentral:rRNA from 1 species
UAGAGUUUGAUCCUGGCUCAGAACGAACGCUGGCGGCGUGGAUAAAACAUGCAAGUCGAACGGGAUUUUUUUCUGUAGCAAUACAGAGAAAAGUCUAGUGGCGAACGGGUGCGUAACACGUGAGCAACCUGCCGUGAAGUGGGGGAUAGCUCGCCGAAAGGCGAAUUAAUACCGCAUGUGGCCAAGGAAGACAUCUUCCUGACGCCAAAGCCGGGGUAACCUGGCGCUUCUCGAGGGGCUCGCGGCCUAUCAGCUUGUUGGUGAGGUAACGGCUCACCAAGGCUAUGACGGGUAGCUGGUCUGAGAGGACGACCAGCCACACUGGAACUGAGACACGGUCCAGACACCUACGGGUGGCAGCAGUCGAGAAUUUUUCACAAUGGGGGAAACCCUGAUGGAGCGACGCCGCGUGGAGGAUGAAGGUUUUCGGAUUGUAAACUCCGUGUCAUUAGAGAACAAGGCACAC